rnacentral:SRP_RNA from 1 species
GUCCGGAGCCUGUGCAAGGCCAGACCACGAACCGCGUCAGGACCGGAAGGUAGCAGCGCUAAGAGGACCCUGCCCUGUGCCGCAGGACCUCCGGGCCGC